rnacentral:rRNA from 1 species
UACGGGGGGGGGCAAGCGUUGUUCGGAAUUACUGGGCGUAAAGGGCUCGUGGGCGGCCAACUAAGUCGGAUGUGAAAUCCCCAAGCUUAACUUGGGAACUGCAUCCGAUACUGGAUGGCUUGAAUCCGGGAGAGGGAUGCAGAAUUCCAGGUGUAGCGGUGAAAUGCGUAGAUAUCUGGAGGAACACCUGCGGUGUAGACGGCUUUCUGGACCAUUGCUGACGCUGAGACACGAAAGCGUGGGUAGCAAACAGG